CACAACCAGAGAAAAGCCCGAGUAGCAAUGAAGAUCCAGCACAGCCAACACAGACAAAUAAAUAAAAAUUGAAAAUUGGUAUUAUUUUUCUCCAUGUUCCAACUUUUUAUUGUUUAUUCCUGAUUCCAUAGUGUCUUACAUGCUUUUUUGUCUUCCAAAUAUUCAAAUAUGUCCAGAGGCCUUUUUCUUCUCUAAAAAUCUGCUUCCUCCAGAUGGAAAUGAGUGUGUCCAUAUAGAUGCCACCUCUUGGAGAAUUGCUGGGAAACUUGGGUUCAGGAUUAUGUUCUCAGAGACAAGCACAGUUGCACGGGCGGCUAUAAAACUAUUUGGAUGGAUGAAACACUGGAUAAUAUUUACUGGAGGAAGUAUUCUUGAAGCCUGAGAGUCAGAUGACAGUCGGACUCAGAAACAGGAAACAGUUUGGUGCACUGGUCUGCCUCCUCUUCCUUCCUGCCACAGAAACAGUCUAUCGUUUCCUCACCUCCCUCAGCGUCUCUGUCCACAUAAACCACCGGCGAUGAGACUGGCUCUGGAGUUGCUUUGGGAAG